GCACUGCUGACGAGUCCUAAACAGAAGGGAACAACUGUCCAGUGC
rnacentral:hammerhead_ribozyme from 1 species